rnacentral:rRNA from 1 species
CUGGCGGCAGGCCUAAUACAUGCAAGUCGAGCGCGCCCUUCGGGGUGAGCGGCGGACGGGUGAGUAACGCGUGGGAAUAUGCCCUUCUCUAAGGAAUAGCCUCUGGAAACGGAGAGUAAUACCUUAUACGCCCUUUGGGGGAAAGAUUUAUCGGAGAAGGAUUAGCCCGCGUUAGAUUAGGUAGUUGGUGGGGUAAUGGCCUACCAAGCCUACGAUCUAUAGCUGGUUUGAGAGGAUGAUCAGCCACACUGGGACUGAGACACGGCCCAGACUCCUACGGGAGGCAGCAGUAGGGAAUCUUAGACAAUGGGGGCAACCCUGAUCUAGCCAUGCCGCGUGUGUGAUGAAGGCCCUAGGGUCGUAAAGCACUUUCGCCAGAGAUGAUAAUGACAGUAUCUGGUAAAGAAACCCCGGCUAACUCCGUGCCAGCAGCCGCGGUAAUACGGAGGGGGUUAGCGUUGUUCGGAAUUACUGGGCGUAAAGCGCACGUAGGCGGAUUAGUAAGUUAGAGGUGAAAUCCCAGGGCUCAACCCUGGAACUGCCUUUAAUACUGCUAGUCUUGAGUUCGAGAGAGGUAAGUGGAAUUCCGAGUGUAGAGGUAAAAUU